CUGGUUUGUUAUCAAACAGAUACACGCGACGCAUUCCUGUAUUUUUAACAAAGAUAAGGACGGUACGUUGUUUGAAGUUGUGGAGUAAGAGGACAUGAAAAACGAGAUCUCACGGUAUGGAGUUGCAGAGGACAGGCCAGAUGGUAAACACAUUGCAGAGAAAAUAUGCACACCUACAUUGAAAUGAACGAACCUCCUCUGCAGAACCCAGACAGUAACUUGAUCUACCAAAGGCAUUAACCAUGUUGAGCAGCAUCAACCUCUCUUUCCCUGUGGUGGCGGCAGCAGCUACAUGAUUCCCUGGAAAAUCUCUUUUUGGAAUAUGACAUACUGGAGAUGCUCAGUGCAGUUGUUGAUGAAAUGUUGGAUGGGAUGAACAAUAUUCAUCCCAAAAAACCUCAUGAGACAUUCUGCUUGCACAGAGCGCCUCUGCUCAUCUCAAAGAAAUGACUGGCUUCUCAGUUCUCGUUUCAGAAUGCCUGGCAUUUCAGAUGGUUGAAUCAGUGUGUCCAGCAUAAGGAAAACUGAGCAAAGUACUUCCAACAGAAACUGGAUGGGUCUCCACAAAUUUAUGCCAGGACUGUCUGGCCCUCAUUGAGAAAGGUGAUAUGACCUGAAGAGACAAGGAAAACAAAGAAUCAGCAAGAUAGACAGAAGAAGAAAGUGAUAAGGGAAGGGGAAGAAAGAAGUUACAGAAAUGAGAAAGACUAUACAUAUCCAUUGAUUACGAUCUUGCUCACCCUCCGCUAACAUAGAGGUUACUCAGCUGAAGGUUUGAUUGAAGACCAACUUGGAAAAGGUACUUUUGCCUCUUCUAGAGGUCUCUUUUCUCAGCUACACCAAGCAACAUCUCCUGGAAUAUCUUCCUGACCCAUAAGAGAUGGUUCUCCCAUGUCUGGAUCAGACACUGGAACAGUCAAAGAGGAUAAGUCUUAUCUCCAGUUCAUGAUGACUGAAAGAACUACACCAGAGGAAG